rnacentral:rRNA from 1 species
AUUGAACGCUGGCGGCAGGCCUAACACAUGCAAGUCGAACGAGUGGCGGACGGGUGAGUAAUGUCUGGGAAACUGCCCGAUGGAGGGGGAUAACUACUGGAAACGGUAGCUAAUACCGCAUACCAUCGGAUUUGCCCAGAUGGGAUUAGCUUGGAGGUGAGGUAACGGCUCACCUAGUCGACGAUCCCUCGCUGGUCUGAGAGGAUGACCAGCCACACGGGAACUGAGACACGGUCCAGACGCCGACGGGAGGCAGCAGUGGGGAAUAUUGCACAAGGUGCGCAAGCCUGAUGAAGCCAGGCCGCGUGUAUGAAGAAGGCCUUCGGGUUGUAAAGUACUUUCAGCGGGGAGGCGGUACCCGCAGAAGAAGCACCGGCUAACUCCGUGCCAGCAGCCGCGGUAAUUC